ACGGUUUCCUCCAAGCUAGCUGAAAGUUGGACCGUAGAAAGGAUGCACCUAGUGCUCACCAAAGUACCAUCAGCAACGUCGACACCACAAGUACUGCAGACCCCACAAACGCCGCUGCUGGGUUGGGGUCUCGUCAUCUGCUAUCCACCCUGGACCUAUGACCAGGCUCUAGGUUCCAGUAGGUGAACCUCUUCCUUCUGUAGAGCGAAGCAGGAUCAGGAAUAAGAGCUCAAUAGCUAAGGGAGAAUGAAGAGCAUAGCAAUCCCUGUAGUGAUUAUAGCUGACCCCUCCAAACACGAGUUUAAGCUGCGAGUUGAGGGUCAAGUAGACCUGUUUAAUGAGCACCAAAGGACUUUCUUUCAUACAGGUUUUUCCACAAGGUUACCACCCACGUGGACCUUGUGGAACACAGGACACACAGUUACAGCAGCCAAUCACCACAUUACAGUACAGUCAGACACUCCCAGCAGGCACACAAACCCACUCAAACUCUACACAGUUUUACAUAAUAUCCAUAGCUUCCAAACUAUACAUGUUAUAUUUUCUGAACCAGCAUAAUCAGUUAACAAACUUAUGUAAAAAUCAUCCGAAUCGGUCCAGUGGUUUGGAAGAUAGCUGGAAGUCAUAUUUGACCGACUGCAAGCAUGGCUUUCCUGCCAAAAACAGUUCCACAGAUUUAGGCUGUGCAGACGGUCUAUCUUCUCCUCUAUCCUGGAGAUAAUUGGCUUAAGUGGGUGUGGUAACUUAAUUAUCUCCAGGUACAUGAAAUAUCUCUAAGUAAAAACUGUUACAAACCACAUAAAAAUACAUAAUACAAUGCUUAACCUAUAUGUCCAACAUAUCCCCAGAUAACUUGGAUCUGAGCACUCAAUAUGUCAGAAAAGCGCUCAGAUGUCAUGAAUACAGUUGGAAUGCCAUAUGGUUAUACAAUAGCAAGGUUCAAACUGCAUGCCUUGAACAAAUCACAUAGGACUUCAGCUAAGCACUUCCUGGGAUUCUGCGAGUGGUACCUGCAAAACGCAGAUUCAGGGGGUUACAAAGAUUUUAUUGAUCCAAUAGCAGGAAACAAAUUAAAACAGCAACAUAAAAGAAAGUCUUUAAAAUUAUGAAUAAUGUGGAAAAACUGUAUUUCUCUGCCUGUGAUAAUUACAUUACCCAUUGUGUAA